rnacentral:rRNA from 1 species
UGGGGAAUAUUGGACAAUGGGCGAAAGCCUGAUCCAGCCAUGCCGCGUGUGUGAAGAAGGUCUUCGGAUAGUAAAGCACUUUAAGUUGGGAGGAAGGGCAGUAAGCGAAUACCUUGCUGUUUUUACGUUACCGACAGAAUAAGCACCGGCUAACUCUGUGCCAGCAGCCGCGGUAAUACAGAGGGUGCAAGCGUUAAUCGGAAUUACUGGGCGUAAAGCGCGCGUAGGUGGUUCGUUAAGUUGAAUGUGAAAGCCCCGGGCUCAACCUGGGAACUGCAUCCAAAACUGGCGAGCUAGAGUAGGGCAGAGGGUGGUGGAAUUUCCUGUGUAGCGGUGAAAUGCAUAGAUAUAGGAAGGAACACCAGUGGCGAAGGCGACCACCUGAGCUCAUACUGACACUGAGGUGCGAAAGCGUGGGGAGCAAACAGG